AUCACCGAGGAUCCUGUCCCAGACAUCGCCCAUGAAAAGAACCAGACACAUUCAGCACCCACCAGUCCUCAGCAGAGUAAAGGCCAUGGAUUGCUGAUUGCGUUGGGUUGCAUGGUUCCGUUGGUCAUCACAGCGGCAAUAAUCAUAUAUAAAUGUCGCUCUCAGAAGAAGCCUCAUAUCAGCGAUGCACCCGUGCAGAUGGCUUUGGAAGAUACAGACAGCAAGGCUGUGGAUAACAUCUAUAUUAUGGAAUGAGAGACAAAGCGUUGAUUGAAACAAGUAUAGAUCAUCAAGUAAUGUGACUCAAAUAUAUCCUAUCAGAGAACAUGCGCGGCGGGGAACUAAAUAACCUGAACAGAGGAAUUCUUCAAAAAUCACACAAAAAAAAUUAUAGUCACUCGCUGAUGGAACCAUAAGUUUAUAACCAUAACAACUUAUUGUUAUAAAAACCAUAC